UAUACUUUAAUAUAAAAUGUAUAUUAAUUUUUGAUUUUAAAAGAGAUAGUGGAAUACUAUUAAGUAUAA
rnacentral:tRNA from 1 species